rnacentral:rRNA from 1 species
UACGGAGGGGGUUAGCGUUGUUCGGAUUACUGGGCGUAAAGCGCGCGUAGGCGGAUUAGAAAGUUGGGGGUGAAAUCCCGGGGCUCAACCCCGGAACUGCCUCCAAAACUACUAGUCUAGAGUUCGAGAGUGGUGAGUGGAAUUCCGAGUGUAGAGGUGAAAUUCGUAGAUAUUCGGAGGAACACCAGUGGCGAAGGCGGCUCACUGGCUCGAUACUGACGCUGAGGUGCGAAAGUGUGGGGAGCAAACAGG